CUCUUUUCUCUCCUGCGCCCUCCGUCAAGUCCAACCUCAUUACAUUUGACUUUUUAAUUUUAUUUUAUACAUAAAUUUUUUUCUUUUCUAGAUAUAUUUAAAUUGUAAAAGAUAAGCUUUAAAUUGUAAAAGAUAUUCUAUUGUUUAGUGCAUUUUCACUUUUCUAUUUUGUAAUUUAAAAUGUUAUAUUUAACUAUUUAGCAAUUUUAUCUUUAUUUUACUGCACAGGUAUUUUUGGUUUAAAGUCGGAAACGGUUACGAAAUUAAAAUAAGAAUAAGGGUGCAUUUGGUUCCUCGUAAAAUGAUCCCGAAAAUUUUUUUUCAGUUGAAAAGUGGGAUUCCCGUGUUUGGUGGCCCGUAAAGGAAUUUUUUUGAAAAAUUAUUUUUACAGAUUCUGAGAAAAAUGAAAGUUUUCGUUUCUGCACGAUUCGAUCCGAAAACGAAAACUCGUGGGGUUGCGUGCACAGCGCGGGUG
rnacentral:lncRNA from 1 species